UACGUAGGGUGCAAGCGUUGUCCGGAAUUAUUGGGCGUAAAGAGCUCGUAGGCGGUCUGUCGCGUCGGACGUGAAAACUCGGGGCUCAACUCCGAGCCUGCGUUCGAUACGGGCAGACUAGAGUUCGGUAGGGGAGACUGGAAUUCCUGGUGUAGCGGUGAAAUGCGCAGAUAUCAGGAGGAACACCGGUGGCGAAGGCGGGUCUCUGGGCCGACACUGACGCUGAGGAGCGAAAGCGUGGGGAGCGAACAGG
rnacentral:rRNA from 1 species